GACGAACGCUGGCGGCGUGCUUAACACAUGCAAGUCGAGCGGAGCGGCGAACGGGUGAGUAACGCGUGAGUAACUGCCCCCCUCCCUGGGAUAACAGUUGGAAACGGCUGCUAAUACCGGAUAGUUGGGGAUGGCUCGCGUCCUAUCAGCUUGUUGGUGGGGUAGUGGCCUAACAAGGCGACGACGGGUAGCCGGCCUGAGAGUGAGAACGGCCACAUUGUGCUGAGAUACGGCCCAAACUCCUACGGGAGGCAGCAGUGGGGAAUAUUGCACAAUGGGGGAAACCCUGAUGCAGCCAUGCCGCGUGCAGGAUGAAGGUCUUCGGAUUGUAAACUGCUUUUGUCAGGGAAGUGUUAAUACCAUAGACUGCUGACGGUACCUGAAGAAUAAGCACCGGCUAACUACGUGCCAGCAGCCGCGGUAAUAC
rnacentral:rRNA from 1 species